rnacentral:rRNA from 1 species
AAUAACAAUACAGGACUUUUUGGUUUUGUAAUUGGAAUGAGUUAAGUAUAAACCCCUUUACAAGUAUCAAUUGGAGGGCAAGUCUGGUGCCAGCAGCCGCGGUAAUUCCAGCUCCAAUAGCGUAUAUUAAAGUUGUUGCAGUCAAAAAGCUCGUAGUUGGAUUUCUGUUAAUAAUUUAUAUAAAAUAUUUUGAAUAUUUAUAUAACAUUAACAUAAUUCAUAUUACUAUAUUUUUUAUUAUAUGAAAUUUUACUUUGAGAAAAUUAUAGUGCUUA